CGGCCGCGGUAAUUUGACCGUGCUAAGGUAGCAUAAUCAUUUGUCUUUUAAUUGAAGACUGGAAUGAAAGGUUUAACAAGAAAUUUGCUGUCUUAAAAAAUAAAAUUGAAUUUUAUUUUUUAGUGAAAAAGCUAAAAUAAUUUUGUGGGACGAUAAGACCCUAUAGAUCUUAAUUAUUUAGAGUGAUUAACUUUUAAACAUAAUUUUAUUGGGGCGAUAGCAAGAAAAGAAUAUCUCUUAAAACUUAGAAAUACUGAUAAGUAAAUUGGUAAAUGAUCCUAGAAGAUAGGUUAUUAGAAUAAGUUACCUUAGGGAUAACAGCGUAAUAUUUUUUUAGAGUUCUUAUCGAAAAAAAUGUUUGCGACCUCGAUGUU
rnacentral:rRNA from 1 species